AUUUUAAAAAUGUUGUUCAAAUUUUUAUUGAUAGUUUCUAUCUUCGUUAACAUUGCAUCCUCAGAAAAAAUGUAUCAAGCUUGUGGAGAUGAAUUAGAUCGUUUGGUAUUCAAAGUGUGCUCAAAGUAUUAUAAAAGAAAUCUAAUCAAUGAUGAUUUGGAUUCUUCGAUGAUUAAUAUAGAUGAAGAAAUUUUACCUUCUAGAACUAAUAGAAUGCUAGAAAGUAAAAUAGGAAGAAGACAAAUUGUUUCUUUGUGCUGUUUUAAACCUUGCACUUUGAAAAUCGUAGAAGAAUAUUGUCACUAUUAAUUUUUUUUACCGUAAAAACUUUAUGAUUCCAUUUGAAAGAAAAACCUUUCUGUUGUUUGUAAUUUGAAUUUAAUAUUAAUAAAGCAAUGUGCAAAUAA